rnacentral:lncRNA from 1 species
UUGCUCGUUCUCUCUUCCUCCUACUUCUUGUCAAGAUGAGCCACCCGAUGGGCUUGCCUUCUAGCAGCAGAAAUUGCUUUCCCCAGUGCCGAAGCAAACCAAGAAUGCGAGAUUUUUCCUAUAGAAGCUUCUUUCGGCUGUUUGAUUGAAGGCGAUAAUGUGGAUGAUCCAAUUGAGGAAUAAGAAGAAGAAGAAGAAUCAAUUAAGAUAGUCUGAGAAUUUACCUUGGUCGAUGUCUGAUUAAGGGCUGAACAAAAGCUUAUUCCUCUGCUGAAGUUACAGCCGAGGGAACUUUUAUGGAAGGUAGAUCCUCAGUUGGAGCAGAGAAAGGUUAGGAAUGAAUUUUUAUUGCGAAAGUCUUACGCUGUUUCAGUUGCGGCUAUCGACUUAGAGAGUGUAGCUAUCGGCCGCUUCUCUGUACGUUGGGACGAUGGGUUAGGGACAGUUGUCGGCUGGAAAAGCAUGUAUUAGUGAGUUCAGCCAAGUACGUAUUCAAAAGAAAAUAUAUUGAAAAAUAAAAUUUACCUUGGAAGUGUGGAGAAAAUCUGCUGGAUCAUAGUCUGAGUGUUCCUCAGAAUCUUCCUGUCUUUGGGAAUUAGGAGAGAUUUCUGUUCCUAUAAAAGUUACUGAAAAAAUAAUUAAAUUAGAUUAAGGGCAAAGAAGAGAAAGAGAUACAAAUCGAUUAUAAAAUAAUGUACCUUCUGCAUGACGAAUUUUGCGAAGAACAAGAGACGUCAUUUGGAAAAAGACUUGUUCAUAAAAAACAUCCCAAGCUUUUGUGAAGUGAAAGUCCAUUGCCCAUAAGUGAUUCGGCCUAAAGCUUAUGAGCUUGAAGAAACGUUGGAGAUGAUUCCCUAUGGCUGAGAGCCGAUCAGCCUUGACUGCACUUUUCGUAAGAGGACGGUUGUUGGUGGUAUUAGCCGUGAAAAAUUUAGCCAGGACUGGAAUUGCCUGAACGAACCCGAAUUGACGCGCCACAUACUGAGGAGAAUACACUUCAAUGCUGGGCGUCAACUUGGAACAGGUUUUCAAUCCAAUGUGCAAGUCUCGAGAAGCCAGUAAGGAAUACUAGACAUCGGAGUACUCACUGGUGAGACAAAUGGCCAGUUGGCCCUUGAUGGCUUCAUACCGAGUGAGAAGCCAGGAUGGACCAGUAACACAUUCUCCAAAAGAGGCCCACGUGAUGAAACGACGUUGGCUCAGUUCAUAGAAAACUUUAAAAUAUGCGGUGAAGUCAACCGGUUGGCCCGAAGACAUAGGCUAUGGACAGUUGAGGGCUAAACCAUAGGUGUCAAAGUGAGGAGCCGAGUCCAAAUCUAAAGGGGAUUGGUAUAAAAAAGGAAAGUAAAUUUGCAAACACAUUUGUAAAAACCACAAAACACCGCAAUCGGAACUAAUUACUAAGCCAUUCCCCGACUAUAGUGGUUUGAUGGAUUCAAAAAAUUUUCAAUGUACAAAAGUAAGAAAAUAUGUGCCUAAUGCUAAUUUCUCAUCGUUGGCCAAAGCAACGGCGAUCAGGACAAAAUCUUGAUUAAUUUUCUAUGAGCGGGCAGAAAAAGUUAUGGCAAAGCCAAUGAAGAAGAAAAGUAGUGUGCUCCUUCUUAGUAACUGGACUAGGGGAAUGACCUACGAACCGGCGAAUAAAUUUGGUAUAGGCAAGGUCCGCCUUUGGGUCAAAAUAUAUAGGCCUUAAAAUCAUCCACUCCAUAAGGGUUGUAGCCCAUCGAAAGGGUAACGCCGUGAGGACGAAUACCAAUUAUUGCUGCCACAUCCAAAAGAGUCGGUGUUGAAGGGUGCUGAUCUGAAAGGAAAAGUGUUGGAAACAGAGGACCAGAAGCACAAAGUCGCAGCUAGAAGAAGGUUGUCGGCCUGGAGAGAAGUUCUCGAAAGUUGGAUGGCUUCGUAAAUUCCAACAUUAUGCCAGAGAUCAGAAUAAGAUUCUUCGACUCACUCUAGCCACGCCAAGUAAGCGUCUAAAACGCUAGGCCAAGUUCGAAGACUUUUUCCUGAUGACUUCGAGGCAUACCAAGAAUGCAGAUGAAUGGCAUCAGCCAUUAAGGGAAGAGCAUUGGUCGAGAAAGGAAAAUUCUCAAGAGCAGGGGUCUCUACAAAAAAAAGCUGAGCACAAGUCGAGAAGGAUCCGAUUCGACAUAUGGCUUGAAGAGGCUAUAUUCAAGAAAAGGAGAUGAAAAAAGAGGAGGAAUCGGCACCAUAAAAAAAAAAAGAGGCGUGAGGAAGAGGAAUCUCAGAUUGAGGGACAGUUGUAAAGAUGAAGAGGUGUGAAAGAAGAAAUCUCAGAUGAAAAAGCAAGAGAAAGAGGAGAGGAAAACGAAGUGCAAAAGUAGCAAAGGAGCUGCCGGAUGAAAUUUUAAAAAAUAGUCUUAAUGGUGAAAAGGUGGUGGCCAUAAAUGACCUAAUUAAUGUCUCAAAAGGGACAAAAAGAACGUGGCAAAUCGUGACCGUCAAAAGUGAAAGGACGGCUGGGAGAAGUAAACGGUAUAAGGCGAUUUAAAAUGUUGACCUUGGAAUCCGAGCCCUUGGAGGAGAUUAUGCCAGCCACCGAACUGAUCAUUCGGAAGCUAUCGAGGGGGUAAUUGUUGGUGAAAAACAAAUCACGCCACAUGGUAAACCGGGAUACACCGCAAGCAUGGCCUUUGAAGCCAAGGACGAGUAACAUAUGGUGCGCCAGGAACAAAGAAGGAUUCACAGCAAAUCGUAAAGUAGUUAAAGGGUUAUGCGGUUAAGAUCGGCUAGUCAUGGCCCACGAAAUCAGGGAUGUGGUCGAUCAUGGGAAUAACUGAAUAAUAAUAGACAUAUUAUAAAUAGAUAUGAGACAUCUGACAAAGGGGUUUUUUUUCCUAUGAACGAGAAGACCAAUUUCUAUUCUCCCCUGCAUCUUUUCUUACUUUCUAGGAGUAGUCUACCUGUAAUCUUUUUUACUUUUCCUGCAUUUACUGCAUUUCCUAAGAGUAGUCCGUAGUUUAGAUUUUUCUCUGGGAUCAUACACUAUAGUGGCGCGCGUUCUUUUCUAUAAACAUUUCUCAAAUUUUGAGUAAUAUAAAAGCUUUUCGGCUCUUCAGCCGAACGGAAAGUACAGUGUUGUUCCCUUGACUCGGCUGAUCCAGUCGAACCGAACUUACUGCGCGAAACUUAACUCGGCUGAUCUGAUCCCUCAUCAGUCGAAUCGCUUGAUCUAAUAGUGGGCGCAAGUUUCGAGGGUCAUCAUUCGUAGCCAUUCUGCCUCCUCGCACACUUCCCGAAAAAGGGUUUUGACCGAGCCAGCGGUCAAAGAAAUUGGCUCGCGACACAUACAAAGUCAACAAAUAUACAAAUUCCAUGCAAAAAAUUAGGGAGGGAGGGCACAAAAAGUAAAUAGUGCAUAGGUGUUAAGAAGCUAUUGCAUAAAACUAAAGAAGGGAGCAUAACUUCUUGAAAAUUGUAGGAACUUAAAAACCAGAAGCUAAUAAUUAUAGUGUGAAAGGGAGGACACCAAAAAAAACAUCCAAAAAAAAAAGAGAGGAGGCAUAACACAAUAGCAAACCUUGCUAUAAAGACUUGGAGGAAAAGCUAGCAGUGGGAAAGCGAAACCUUACAGGCACUUAAGGCAGAAGGACAAAACAUUAAUUUUCGGACAUUUAAUAUACCUAUACAUAAUGGAAUAGUAUAAGAAAAAGUAGAAACAUAGAUUAUCUCUAAGCAGGCAAUAAAAAUAGAGCAAUAUUUAGGGCCUUACGAAAUAGUAGAAUCGUAGAAUCCUAGAGAGAAAAUAAAUGUACGAGUGAGAUGAGUAAUAUUUUAAAUAAGGAAUAUACCUUUGUGAGUAGGCAAUAAAAAUAAUGAAAAAUGUAGGGACCCAUAAAAGACACAACCAUUAGAAAGGUGUAGAGGAAGUUAAUACAUCAGUGAGAUGAGUAAUUAUUGAAAUGAAGAAUAUACCUUUUAGGUUAAGAGAGAUGACACUACUGUGCUAUAUCAAACAGUGAGCAGUAUUUAUAACCCCUGAAGCUGCCUUUAUGGAAAUGAUCAUCACAAAGCAAAGAGGAGAAGAAGAAAAAAGAAAGAGGAAAAUAAGUGGACUAUAAGUAAUGCUUAAUGAUUAUAGGCAAUCUCAUCACUAGCAAGUGGCCCAUAUGGGAAAAUCAUUCAAGAUCUUUGAUAGUAUAGUGCAAAUACUUUGCAGCAUCCAUACAAAUAUAAUAAUCAUUCAAUAAAUCAUUCAAUAAAAUCUAAAAAAAAUCUCAACAAAAUCAGGUGAUUCAUUUCAUUAUAAUAAUCACAAAAACCUUUAAAAAGUCUGUAAAAUAUCUUAAGAGAUCUAAAAAAGUCUGUGAAUAUCCACCGAAAAUAGGGUAGUUUUAGGGUGUUGCAACUAGUGGAUCCAUCCAUCCGUCGGUCGAAUCGGGUAGUAUGGAAAUUGGGAGAGGGGCGUUGGAGAAGGGAGACAUGGGAAAAGGUCAGGACAAUCACACCUCUAUUAUAGAUUAUCUUUGUAGGUAGUAGGGGCUAGGACACAGAGAGGAGCGAGAAUCACACCUGUAAUAUAGGUUGCCUUCGAAAGCAGAGGGCGCAAUGAGUUCACCAUGAUGUUCAAUCCGACUAUGGUCAUUAGAUUAACCGUCGUGAAGAGAGAAGGGGGAGGGGCCAAGAGAGCGUGGGAACGAGAGAGUAGAGAGGGAGAAGGACAAAUAAAGAAGAGAGAGACGAGUUGGUGUCAGAGAGGUGCAUAAUGAGAGAGAGAGAGAGAGAGAGAGAGAGAGAGAGAGAGAGAGUAAGUAUAGAGCUAGGGAGGGAGAGUCCUGUAUAGGAGGAAAGAGAGAGAAAUAGAGAGACGGCAGAGAG